GAGUCUCGCUCUGUCGCCCAGGCUGGAGUGCAGUGGCCGGAUCUCGGCUCACUGCAAGCUCUGCCUCCCGGGUUUACGCCAUUUUCCUGCCUCAGCCUCCCGAGUAGCUGGGACUACAGGGGCCCGCCACCUCGCCCGGCUAAUUUUUUGUAUUUUUUAGUAGAGACGGGGUUUCACCGUGUUAGCCAGGAUGGUCUCGAUCUCCUGACCUCGUGAUCCACCCGUCUCGGCCUCCCAAAGUGCUGGGAUUACAGGCUUGAGCCACCGCGCCCGGCCAAUGUUUGUAUUUUUAGCAGAGACGUAGUUACACCGUGUUGACCAGGCUGGUCUCAAACUCCUGACCUCAGGUGAUCCUCCUGCCUUGGUCUCCCAAAGUGCUGGGAUUACAGGCAUGAGCCACUGCACCCAGCCUAUAUCUUAGAUAUUUUCCUAAGCAAAAAUAUUUACCUAUAGCUGUUUCUGUAGAGACAAAAUAACACAGUGCAGGAUGACGUUUAACUAAAUUAUGCAAGCUACUGAAUUACUAUUGCUACUAUUUUUUUCUUAAGUAGGUUCUUGUAUGCUCUUACAGAUUUAGCCUAGAGUCUUACAUGUAGUAAAUACUCAGUAAGUAUCAGAGAUUUAUUUAGGAAGGAGGGAGGUGUCUUAAUCUGCAAAGUUUCUCUUAUUUUGCUUUGCUUGCUAAAGUCAGACAAGCUCAAGAAAUUAUAAACUUUUGUUCUUUGAAAGAUUCUGCUUGCAAAAUAAUGACAUAACCCCCAGAGUAAAAACAAGCAUUAGAAAAACAUGUAUCAGAUAAAAGACUUGAAUCCAAGACAAAUAAAUAACUCUCACAACUUAAUAAUAAGACAUAUUGCCUAGUUUUUUUACAUUAAAAAAUAUUUAAACAAAAAUUUUCCCAAGAAGAUUUAUGGAUGGUAAAUAAACACAUGAAAAAGAUGUUCACCAUCAUUAGUCAAUAGAGAAAUUCAAAUUAAAGCUACAAUGAGAUACAAUUACACACCAAGCAGAAGAGCAAAAAGUUUUUUAACUGAUAUACAAGUAUUGGCAAGGCUGCAGAGCAACUGGAGCUCUCACUUGCUGCUGAAAUGUAGAAUGUUUCAGCCACUUCGGAAAAUGUGGCAGUCUUAUAUAGUUCAGCAUGCAUUUACUAUUUGACCUAUCGAUCCCAUUUCUAAGUAUUUGCCGAAGAGAAAUGAAAAAAAUAUGUGCACAUAAAAAUUUGUAAGCUAAUUUCCAUAGUGGCCUCAUUAAUAAUUGUUAAGAACUGGAAAGAACCCAAAAUGUUCAUGAACAGGCAAAUGGAUAGACAAAUUGUGAUAAAACUGUGGAACAUUACUCAGAAAACAAACACAAAAAAACCAACAAAACAACUAUUGUUACAUGUAACAACAUGGAUGGAUCUUAAGAACAAUAUGCUAAGCGAAAUAAGUCAGACACACACAAAAAGCCACAUAUUAUUUAAACUAUGUGACACUCUGAAAAAGGCAAAAUUAUAGGAACAGAAAACAGAUAAAUGAUUAUUAGAGGCUGAGAAUAAGGGAGAGAUUGCACAGAAGCAUGACAGAGCCUUUAGGGGUAAUGGAACUAUUCGAUAUCUUAAAUUGGCAUGGAGAUUACAUCACCGUAUACUUUUUUGAAUACUUCAAAAAUUAUAAAUUACAAAUGGAUAAUUUUUACUGUAUGUAAAUUAUACCUUAAUAGACCUGACUUUUGCAAAAAAGGAUAUAUGCGUAUGAAUGCUCAUUCAUGUGCACAUGUGCACACACAAAGAUGGAGUCAAGCAGCUUACCUUCCAAUGGUGAUGAGAACUGCGAGGCAGGAUUAGGUCAUGUGCCACAAUUGCAUUCCAUUUUGCUAGUUGACUCUAAGCCAUUAGGGCACUUUAAAAGAAACAACCACCAUCCACAACCGCCGUGAAUCAGCACUACCUCACCGCCACCCCUAGUCACAUAACCAAGCUUUUCACAUUUUAUUUGGUUUGACUUUUUGCUUUUCUUUUCUUUAAGUGUUAAAUUGUCAAGGUGGUAGCCCAAUCACCCCCACCUGUCCUAACAUGUUUCACAUGCCCUUUACAGGAUUUUAAACUUAACUGAAGUCAUUUUCUAAAGGGCAAUAAUGGAAAUGUUAUGGGCAGAUUGCAGUGCAUAGUGCAUGGUAAAGCUUUUACUUAAAUGGAUUCUGCCCACAAAAGUAGGAACCCUAACAUCACCACAGCAGGUCCACAGCAGUGAUGGCUGUGGAAAAAAAAAAAAAUCAUCCAGAGGAUUCAUUUCCACCUUAUUUUAGACCUUUUGCUGUAAUUCCUUAUAUAAAAAUUUCUUUUUUCCUUGACCAUUAAUACUGAUAAUUAUAUCUGUAUUUCUUAAGAAUAUU
ensembl:lncRNA